UCCUGGGUUAUUUCAAAGAUCUCAAGGUUUUCAGUCUCGUUCUAAAAUGGCUGUACAUGUGCAGUUGCAGCUUUUCUGUGCAUACCACCCCCACCCUUACGUGGUCCUGCUGGUAUUUCUGAGUUGUACAGCCUGACUCACUCUGCACAUGUUAAAAGGAGUCAUGCUGCUGACUUCAGUGGCUUUUCAAGAAGCCUCGAGGAACCAAAUGAAUUCUGCCUUUUCUCCAUUUCAUUUUGUACUGGUGCUUAAAUGGCAGAAAUGUGGAACAAGACAGUCCAUUUGGCUGCACAUUUGCUGAGUUUGAAUGAGCUUCCAGAAGCCAGUCACUUUGGGAGCAAUUCUGUGUUCCGAGAAAUGCCAGAAAAAUAUGUGUGCUGAAGGGUUUCUCCAGUAUUACUGCAGAGCACUGAGUCCUUUAUAACAUAAAUCAGCAAGGCAAAGCAUUGCAAGCAUGAACAACAACAGUUUCAUGGGACAUUGAUCUUUGAAAUCUGGAAAGCACCUUUAGAAGCCCUUGAUCAACAUGAAGAGGAUGCUCGGGAGGUUUGGUCCAAGUAUUUCUGCAGGGCUAUUAGAUGGUCAUGUCUUUGCCAUUUCAUCUCUCCAAGGAUGAAGUUGCUUCAUCUGAAGAAAUGAUAGCCACCUUCUUCAUAGAGGAUUUUAGGGUUCUCUUCAAGUUUGUGGGAGAUAUUUUGCAAUAUGGUGCCCAAAGUAACAGAAAACUAUAGUGGUUCAGUGCUCUCUUCCAGCUCUGCAUUCCUGAGUAUGUAGAAAGGUCUUGUGAGAACUCAAUGUUUUUAUUAAGGAUGGCCUGGAUUAUGAGUUUACAAUAGAUAAUCAUGUACAAAUGGCCUUCCAUUUUUAGCUUCUCCUCCCUUCAGAGGCUUCCUCCCUGUACUGACAUAGUUUUCCCUGUAACUUCAGUGUGGCUUUAGGCAGAGACAGAGUACUUGCAGCUCUGGGAGACUUAGUGCUGAAACCUCUUCGGUUGCAAUUGUUCCCACAAUCCUGUGCUUUCCUCAGAAAUCAAGUCACUCCUACUCCCAUUACUAUAUCCCAUAUCCUCUCCCUUUGGAGACCCCAAACCUAUCCUAACAAAUCAUUACAUUCACAAAACUAUCCAGCAUACUCAGGCAGAAUAGCAUCAGAGAUGUAGUCUGUUUUUUUUUCCUCAUCUCAUCCAGAUCUGAUACCAGAGACAAAGAGUAAUUUUGCUGUCCUGAUCAUUCUCUUACAGUUAUUUACAUUUUGUUUUGUUGCUAACAGCUAAUCAAUUUGAAACAAAAACAAAUACUUCUACGACCUCAAAUGAAAACAGUUUGUGUGUGCUUCUUUUAUAUGAAAGAUAGCUGAUAGUUUUAAUCCCAGGAAAAAAAAAGGUUGCUGCAAAGAACUAAAAAUGUAAAAAAAACACAGAAGAGAAAAGAGUUGAGGAAUUCAGGAAGGAAAAAAAAGGCUUCGGGGAAUCACUCUGCUAUUUGCAAAGCAAAAUUGCCGUUUCUGUAAACGAUUAUUUAAUUGUUGAUAUGAAUUUAGCAUGGUGAUAAAAUUUUUUCCUGGCUCUGACAGACAUUCUCUAGUGGAAAGAAAUAAAUCUGGGGAGUUUGAAUUAUGUGCAAUUGGAUCACUGAUUUGCUCUAACUUCAGCAUCAGUUGGAUCUCAUUGUACUUUCUGAUAUAUUUCUAUACAUGAAAACACAACUUGAAAAGUAUUAAAACUGAUUAAAUGUGACAUCACUCAACAUAACACUAGUAUAAAAGGCAAUUCCAGAUUGUGGGGCACACCUCUUGAGUUCUUUGCUAUUCUCACGGAGGCUGGAAAACGCACUUUUGUCUCAGAAAAGGUCUUUUGCUAUCUAUCAGUAAUGAAACUAUGUCACAAACUAUAAUUUGUCUACAUGUAGGACAAAACCUGAAACGUACUCAGCAGGCAGAAGUAACCUGAGUUAUACGUGAAGAAUUAAUAUUGAGCUUUUUGAUAUGUUCGUGGAAAUAUAAAAUUCCAAACUUACUAAUGAGUCAAAUGCAGAAUUGAUUGCAGAGUAUGAAUGUGUGAACGACAGUGCCUGUAUAUUUAGGAAGCACCAGUGAAGUGCUGAGGGCCUCUGAACUCCAGUAUGCAAGUUGGAGUCAAAAAGGAUAAAUCUUUUAUUAGAAGACCGAAGUGUUUAAAUAGGAUGUAUUGUUUACAUUCAACCAGGAGAAGAAGAGAAAUGUUAGUUUACCCAGCUUAGAGUUGUGAUGAACAUGAGCAAGGACGUAAGGAGCACAUUCUCAGCUUGCCUGGAGUCUGAGGUAGAAAUCCCUCUGAUUUAUGUGGGACAGAAUUUCUCCUUGAUCUUCCUUUCUUUUCCUCUCCUCCAUCCUAGAUGUUAGGAUUUCUUCCUCAUUUGGUUCAGCAGAUGUUGCUUUCCUUAUGCAAGAAGAUGUUGUCUUAAAAAAAUUUCAGAGGAAAGUUCAGGCUGUGGCUUGUUACUGCCAUUAUUUAUUUUGAACAAGAUCCAAGAUUAUAAGGCACAUGGACAAUCAGGCUAUGGAUAAAAUGAUUAGGAUAGGGCUGACUCAGACCUGUUAGUCUGGCAAGGAUUCAGCAGAAUAUAUUCCAGAAAGUGAACUCCCUAGAAGUAUUUUGCCUUAUCAGAAGCUUUUAUAAUUCUGUGCGAGAUGAUAGUGGAUGGAAAUAAUCCUUCUUGGAUCAAGGAUAUAAUUUUUUUCCCCAUUUUUUGUAUUUCCAGUGGUGAGAACUGUAGUCAUACCUACACAUAAAUGCUUUUAUUUCUAUCCUACCUGUCUUAUAUUUGUGUCCUACACAAAUUUUGGUAGAGGAGUUGAAUAAACAAUUUACAUUUAUCUAACUAUGUGAGCCUAGGAGAAAAUCUGUUGCUGCUGUUCUGAAUUUCUCCUCAUGAUAAUGUGUAAAACGAUGUAACAAUCUGAUUUUGUUAUCUUUCAGGUCUUUUCAGUUCUCAUCACUUUGACUUUCAACUCAGGAAAAGAGAAAUACUGAAGUUAAAUUCUGUAAGAAUAAUCUGAAUUUAACUGCAUAAACUGAGCACAUAAUAUGUGCAAAAGUGUUAACCUGCUAAAGAAUAGCUCUUUUUUGGGGCGUUCAUUUCAACAUGUUAAUGGAAGUUGCAGUGUGCAACAAAAUAAAUGCAUAUAAAAACAA